rnacentral:rRNA from 1 species
CGUAGGUGGCUAGCGUUGUCCGGAUUUACUGGGCGUAAAGAGCGCGCAGGCGGUCGUUCAAGUCGAGUGUGAAAGCCCCCGGCUCAACGUGGGGAGGGUCACUCGAUACUGAUCGACUCGAAGGCAGGAGAGGGAAGCGGAAUUCCCGGUGUAGUGGUGAAAUGCGUAGAUAUCGGGAGGAACACCAGUGGCGAAGGCGGCUUUCUGGCCUGUUCUUGACGCUGAGGCGCGAAAGCCAGGGUAGCAAACGGGAUUAGAUACCCCGGUAGUCCUAGCCGUAAACGAUGGACACUAGGUGUUGGUGGUAUCAACCCCGCCAGUGCCGAAGCUAACGCAUUAAGUGUCCCGCCUGGGGAGUACGGCCGCAAGGCUA